GGAUAGCCAUUCUUGCUAAACUGAAUCCUCUAUAUAAUAUUCUCUCUAUAUAAAUCUAGAUCUAUCUAGUAGGUCUAGAUCUAAGCAUUUAACUUCAUUAAAUGUACCAAGCUCACUCCAAACAUUUGCCCAUUUAUUCUCUAUAAAAAAAACAACAACAAACGAACAUAUAUAUGAUAUAAGAUCAUUAACAUUGAUGUCCAAAACUGGCUGUCCGAAAAGAAUAGAAUUUCUGUGAUGUGGUAACUAAAAUGUCCAGCAAAGUACCUCACCCAGAAGAAGCUGAGGCUGAGCCUUGCAUCAAAAUUGUCUUUGUUAUACAGGAACUUAAUACUGAGCAUUUGGCAGAUUGUGUUUCAACAGUAGAGAUAGGUGGACUGAAAUAUGACCUACAGAAUUUUUUUCAGAUGAAAGCAACAGAACAAGUUUGGACCUACCAACAUAAGAUAUUGGAUGAUAAAAAAACUUUGAAUCAUUAUGGUAUUGAUAUAUAUUGCCCGGAACCAAUUCAGAUAGAAGUCUCCAAGUUCAAAAGCUAAUAGAGAGUUAACCUCUGGAGGAGUUCAAAUUAUGUCAAGUCCAUAUACACAGAGGAUAGAGUUCAAAUCCUGUUCAAGUUCAAUUACAGAGGAUAGAGUUCAAAUCCUGUUCAAGUUCAAUUACAGAGGAUAGAGUUCAAAUCCUGUUCAAGUUCACUCUCAGAGGAUAGAGUUCAAAUCCUGUUCAAGUUCCCUCACAGAGGAUAGAGUUUUAGCUUGUUUAAGUUCACACACAUUGACUUGUAUAUCAGGCAAUAUUUAAGUUGUCUUUAAUGUUGGAUAUAAUGAUGCUGGCGUAAUAUUGGACCUACUCUAAUAGUGUUUUCUUGGAAACCCAUUUAAUAGAAAAUUUUAAGAAAAGCUAGAUGAGUGAAAACCUAUCAUGACUUAAGGGAAACUUUUUUUUAAUCUUUCAUUGAUAAAAAAAAAAACAACCUUUGUUCCCUAUUUUUAACUCAACUCUAAGUUCUAAUGGCGAGUUUUCCUUAAAAAAAAAAAAACGAA